GACGAACGCUGGCGGCGUGCCUAAUACAUGCAAGUAGAACGCUGAAGGAGGAGCUUGCUUCUCUGGAUGAGUUGCGAACGGGUGAGUAACGCGUAGGUAACCUGCCUGGUAGCGGGGGAUAACUAUUGGAAACGAUAGCUAAUACCGCAUAAGAGUAGAUGUUGCAUGUCAUUUGCUUAAAAGGUGCAAUUGCAUCACUACCAGAUGGACCUGCGUUGUAUUAGCUAGUUGGUGGGGUAACGGCUUACCAAGGCGACGAUACAUAGCCGACCUGAGAGGGUGAUCGGCCACACUGGGACUGAGACACGGCCCAGACUCCUACGGGAGGCAGCAGUAGGGAAUCUUCGGCAAUGGACGGAAGUCUGACCGAGCAACGCCGCGUGAGUGAAGAAGGUUUUCGGAUCGUAAAGCUCUGUUGUAAGAGAAGAACGAGUGUGAGAGUGGAAAGUUCACACUGUGACGGUAUCUUACCAGAAAGGGACGGCUAACUACGUG
rnacentral:rRNA from 1 species